rnacentral:rRNA from 1 species
UGGGGAAUCUUCCGCAAUGGGCGAAAGCCUGACGGAGCAAUGCCGCGUGGAGGUGGAAGGCCUACGGGUCGUCAACUUCUUUUCUCGGAGAAGAAACAAUGACGGUAUCUGAGGAAUAAGCAUCGGCUAACUCUGUGCCA